AGAGUUUGAUCAUGGCUCAGAGCGAACGUUAGCGGCGCGCUUAACACAUGCAAGUCGCACGAGAAAGGGCUUCGGCCCCGGUAAAGUGGCGCACGGGUGCGUAACACGUAGGCAAUCCACCCUCAGGCGGGGGAUAACGUCCCGAAAGGGACGCUAAUACCGCAUGAGACCACGGACUCUUCGGAGACUGCGGUCAAAGCUGGCCUCUUCUUGAAAGCUAGCACCUGAGGACGAGCCUGCGGCCCAUCAGCUAGUUGGUAAGGUAACGGCUUACCAAGGCUAAGACGGGUAGCUGGUCUGAGAGGAUGAUCAGCCACACUGGAACUGAAACACGGUCCAGACUCCUACGGGAGGCAGCAGUGGGGAAUAUUGGACAAUGGGCGAAAGCCUGAUCCAGCGACGCCGCGUGAGUGAUGAAGGCCUUCGGGUUGUAAAGCUCUGUUGAGGGAGAAGAAAACGGUUGGCGCGAAUAGCUCCAGCCCUUGACGGUAUCCCUUUAGAAAGCACCGGCUAACUCUGUGCCAGCAGCCGCGGUAAGACAGAGGGUGCAAACGUUGCUCGGAAUUACUGGGCGUAAAGCGCGUGUAGGCGGACCACCAAGUCGGACGUGAAAUCCCUGGGCUCAACCCAGGAACUGCAUCCGAAACUGGCGGUCUGGAGUGGUGGAGAGGGAAGCAGAAUUCCUGGUGUAGAGGUGAAAUUCGUAGAUAUCAGGAGGAACACCGGUGGCGAAGGCGGCUUCCUGGACACUUACUGACGCUGAGACGCGAAAGCGUGGGGAGCAAACAGGAUUAGAUACCCUAGUAGUCC
rnacentral:rRNA from 1 species